GAGAGAGAGGGAGGUAAAGAGGGAGCGGGACAGGUUGAGAGGAAGAGAGAGUAAGACCAAACGAGAUGGAAUGAGUGUACUGUUAUUAUUACUGAAGAGUACAUAAAUUCAACAUCAAAAGCAUCACACAGUUAAGUUACCAAAUAAGGUCAGUCAUUACGAAGAAAAUUAGGAACAAUUCCAUUUCAAAAUAUCCAAGGCAUUACAUGCAAAAAUAAUCAAACCUGUCUAGGAAUUACAUUUUGUUUGAAUAAAAGAGGAGGUAUUACUAAGUCAGGUUACCAUUCAUCACUUGAAUGAAUAACUGUUAGGGAUCUUUGAGUAAGAACGUUAAAUACUGGAAUGAACUUCCUACCUUCCAACUUGUUAUUUGUUAUUGAACAGAACACGACCAUGCUGAACUCGUUAUUAUGUUGAUUACGCUGACAGAGACACUUUAACAAGAUAUAUUUUUCAUGAGCAGGCAGACAUUGGCGAGCACACAGCAAAUCCGAGUGGCCGUUGUUAGUGUGUCACAAAUAGGCGCGUGUCCGGGCUGAUUGACCACACGCCCUACCUGCAGGCGUUUCACAGCACUUCUCAAAGGUGGGCAGCUUCCCGAUGAAACCAUCAUCCUCUUUAAAAGGCCCAACGAAAGAAAAAUAGGAAAGAAACCAAAAAGUCACAGAAAGCAGUGAGAUUGAUGGUACUGGGCAGGUGAGAUGAGGUGAGAUUGAUGGUACUGGGCAGGUGAGAUGAGGUGAGAUUGAUGGUACUGGGCAGGUGAGAUGAGGUGAGAUUGAUGGUACUGGGCAGGUGAGAUGGUACUGGGCAGGUGAGAUGGUACUGGGCAGGUGAGAUGGUACUGGGCAGGUGAGAUGAGGUGAGAUUGAUGGUACUGGGCAGGUGAGAUGAGGUGAGAUUGAUGGUACUGGGCAGGUGAGAUGGUACUGGGCAGGUGAGAUGAGGUGAGAUUGAUGGUACUGGGCAGGUGAGAUGAGGUGAGAUUGAUGGUACUGGGCAGGUGAGAUGGUACUGGGCAGGUGAGAUGGUACUGGGCAGGUGAGAUGGUACUGGGCAGGUGAGAUGAGGUGAGAUUGAUGGUACUGGGCAGGUGAGAUGGUACUGGGCAGGUGAGAUGGUACUGGGCAGGUGAGAUGGUACUGGGCAGGUGAGAUGGUACUGGGCAGGUGAGAUGGUACUGGGCAGGUGAGAUGAGGUGAGAUUGAUGGUACUGGGCAGGUGAGAUGGUACUGGGCAGGUGAGAUGGUACUGGGCAGGUGAGAUGAGGUGAGAUUGAUGGUACUGGGCAGGUGAGAUGAGGUGAGAUUGAUGGUACUGGGCAGGUGAGAUGGUACUGGGCAGGUGAGAUGGUACUGGGCAGGUGAGAUGAGGUGAGAUUGAUGGUACUGGGCAGGUGAGAUGAGGUGAGAUUGAUGGUACUGGGCAGGUGAGAUGGUACUGGGCAGGUGAGAUGGUACUGGGCAGGUGAGAUGAGGUGAGAUUGAUGGUACUGGGCAGGUGAGAUGAGGUGAGAUUGAUGGUACUGGGCAGGUGAGAUGGUACUGGGCAGGUGAGAUGGUACUGGGCAGGUGAGAUGAGGUGAGAUUGAUGGUACUGGGCAGGUGAGAUGGUACUGGGCAGGUGAGAUGGUACUGGGCAGGUGAGAUGGUACUGGGCAGGUGAGAUGGUACUGGGCAGGUGAGAUGAGGUGAGAUUGAUGGUACUGGGCAGGUGAGAUGAGGUGAGAUUGAUGGUACUGGGCAGGUGAGAUGGUACUGGGCAGGUGAGAUGGUCCUAUUACCCCUGUGGAUAGACCUAGUACCCCCAGGUGUCCUAGUACCCAUGUGGAUAGACCUAGUACCCCGAGGGGUCCUAUUACCCCUGUGGAUAGCCCUAGUACCCCCAGGUGUCCUAGUACCCAUGUGGAUAGACCUAGUACCCCCAGGGGUCCUAGUACCCCUGUGGAUAGACCAAGUACCCCCAGGUCCUAGUACCCCUGUGGAUAG